rnacentral:rRNA from 1 species
UGGGGAAUCUUGCGCAAUGGGCGAAAGCCUGACGCAGCAACGCCGCGUGCGGGAUGAAGGCCUUCGGGUUGUAAACCGCUUUCAGCAGGGACGAAAUUGACGGUACCUGCAGAAGAAGCCCCGGCCAACUACGUGCCAGCAGCCGCGGUAACACGUAGGGGGCAAGCGUUGUCCGGAUUUAUUGGGCGUAAAGAGCUCGUAGGCGGUUCCGUCAGUCGGGUGUGAAAACUCUGGGCUCAACCCAGAGACGCCACCCGAUACUGCGGUGACUAGAGUCCGGUAGGGGAGCGUGGAAUUCCUGGUGUAGCGGUGAAAUGCGCAGAUAUCAGGAGGAACACCAACGGCGAAGGCAGCGCUCUGGGCCGGUACUGACGCUGAGGAGCGAAAGCGUGGGUAGCGAACAGGAUUAGAUACCCGCGUAGUCC